rnacentral:lncRNA from 1 species
UUGCUGUCCUUGUCCCAUUGAGGAAAUCUAAAUGGCUUGCAUGGAAGCAUAUGGGUGAAAUUAGUCAAGCAGUCUACACUUGAAGAAGUGACAACCUUGGGACAAGUCUUAGUAGAAAGAUGAUAA